GGAUGCUCUGUGAACCCACAUCACAAUUAACCCCUCAAGAACAUAUUCACAGGCCUAAACACAAGGCAUUUAAUCUGCAACAUACAAUAGCAGGGACUCUUCAGCAUCAGGCUACAUCCGGAAAAACAGCUCUUACUGCUGGCUGGUGCUGACGGCAGUCCUGGCAGAGAUACAGCAAGAGAGAUCACACCUGUUUUUAGCUGUGUAAGAAGGCCAACAUCAAGAAACAAUCAAGAUGGAAGAAGGCCUUUUUGAUUACUCUGCAAAGCUGUUUGAGAUGUGGGCACCCGAUUACUUUGUCACUGGGACAGGCUCUAAUCUCCCCGACGUGGAGAUAAAAACACAGGCACAGUGUAAGAAACCCGGCCUCGCAUCUGUGAGUCCUGCUGGCACUGAGCUUGCUUCGCUCUUGAGUGUGUCAGCUAUGUGUGUGUCAUCUGGGAAAGCCAGAGGAUUUCUCUGAGACUCUGACACAAAACUCACAUGGGAAUAAUUUCCUAAAGCAGAGCCACAACCUCAUAAUGGAUCUCUGCAGGAGGGGAAGACUGCUGGGAAGAAAUGUUUGGAUCAGGAAUGACAACUGAAAGAUGCAGCUGAUGACAAGAAAAGGGAAGAGAGUCCCAAGAAGAGUGAACCUCAUGUACCAAAACACAUUGCUGCUGUCCUGCUCUGAGGAUAACCUUACUUAAAUUGCCAGCCUGAGAUAAGACUA